AAGGGACAAGAAAUUCCUGGCUCGUUUUGAAGAGCCUGUCUCUCCGGACAUAGACUCUCCUAUUGAAGAUGUUGAAGCUGUGUGUAGGACUGCUGGUAAAUUCAGAUGUCUAUCUCUCACCCAAGAACAAGAAAGCUGCAUCAUGCAAGUGGAGUUCAUAAAACCAGAAGGAGGAGGUCUUGGCUUUGCUUUGGUUGGGGGAAACAAUGGUAGCAUGCUCAGAGUGAGAGAAAUCUGCUCAGGUGGAGUGGCUGAGCAGGAUGGUCGGCUGAGAGUGGGAGAUAUUUUAUUAGAGGUGAACGGUGUGAUUGUGUCCGGCCUGAGUCACUGUAAAGUGGUGGAUAUCUUGCGUAAAGCUGAGGGAACUGUACAGCUUACCAUCUGCAGAGACAUGUUCCCCCUGACCUACUCUGAAUCCCCCACACCACCCAACAUGUGCGCCCAGACGGAAGCUAUUUUAGCCGAGCAGCCAGCUCCUGUGUCCAGUCCUGAUAGCUGCUCCUCACCUGACAUCCUGCUGAAUAAGCCAGUUGAGCGCCCCCCUGAGGCAUCUUCAGAACCUAUGGUUCAUGAAACAACUGUUGUCCUAACUUCACCACCACCUCCACCACACCGACUGACCAUUGUAACGGAUGAGACUGCAUUUAAACAGGAGAGCUGUAACAGCACCCCCUCUCAUCAAGCUUGCUGCCCAUCCCUCAAUGUCACUGACAUGUUGCAUGGAGCUUCUGACAGGUAGUACUUUCCCAAGCUACUAUCAUCUUGUGUUGUCUACUUAUUCCCUCUCCUCUUCCAC
rnacentral:lncRNA from 1 species